GAGGGGGGGGGGGGAGAGAGAGGAGGGGACCAGCUACGCAACGCAGCAGCUCCGCACGCACACUGUCAUCCGAGGAGAUGUUGGGAUGCAGGAGUAGAUGCUGGCAGCAGUAUCGCCUCGGCCUCGGGUUGUCUCUGGUCACUGAAGCAAAAGUAAUGGCAGUGUUUUAAAAAAAAAAAAAAAACACUUCUGUGGGUUGGAUCAACUCAUUGUGCAGGUUUAAUCUCAGUCAGUGAAGGCGUGCAACGUUUGGGUUUCUCCCUGGAAUUCUGGCUCUUACACUUGAGAGAUGCUGGUACAAACUCGCGUUAAAAUACUGAAUGGACUUGAACCGGAGGUGCGGGAUUUAUUCAAAGUUUAUGGCUUGAAUCUGUGGAGUGCAGACACACAGAAAUACACAUCUGCAAGACACCAGGUCAAAGGAGACACGCACCACCUCCUGCUCUAAGGGUCAGAGGUCACAGAGUGGGUCAAAACAGACUUCAUCACUCCAAAGUUACCGUAUACAGCAGGAAGAGGAGGAGGAGGCAGUGGAGGAGGAAAAAGAGAAGCAGAGUGGGUGGAAGGAUGGAAGGAGAGAAGGAUAGAAGCAGUUCGAGGAGGUGGUUCGAAGCGGGUGAACCCAGAGCAGGUGAACACAGCUGUGGAUCGCCAUGGGCUCUCUGGCUGCCCUCCUUCUGUGGCCUCGGCGCUGCAUACAGGGGGUCCCGGGGAGCCGGCAGGGGCCAGCCAAAGCUGCGGCAGAGUGGGCAGGCUAGGCCAGCCAAGCCAGGAGAGAAGCAGGUGAGGCGGGUGAGCCAAGCUCUCAUCCCCGCCGGCUAGGAGCCUUCGCGGCAGAGCGGAGCAGUGCGGAGCAGCAGAAAUCAAUACAGAGGAGAGAGGCUAGCAGAGGUUGCCCAGCACCGCCUGCAGGCCACGGAGCCCAGGGACCAACCACCACCACUACUGCUCCCAGCUCCUCUCUCCAUCUCUCUUUCUAUCUUUCUCUAACAGUCCCAGCACCAGCCAGGGCCAGGGCCUUAACCGCCCCACACGCAGUGUGUGUGUCAGUAGGUGCAUGUGUGUGUGUGUGUGUGGAGGGGAGAGACAGAGAGAGGGAAGAGACAGAGAGAGAGAGAGAGAGAGAGAGAGAGAGAGAGUCUUUGUGUGUGGUUCAGCCGGAGGGUUUUUUCGCUGCGUCCAACACCACUUGAUGAAACUUCGUCAGAGAGACACAGAGACAGCGAGGGAGGGAGAGAAACCGAAGAAGAAUAAGACAGGACGUCGAAGGUCGCUUUUCUUCCAGCUCCCUCCCUCUUAUUACUCAUUCCACCUUAACUGUUUGAUAAGGAUCCAUCGGAGACGGUAUACAGGACAUUCCUGCUCAGUCCCACUUCCCAGCAUGUAGCGCACAAUAUUCCUAAGAUCUCAUGAGCCAGGAUGAAAGGACAAUUUGAACUUUUUCCCUCAUCCAUUGUAUCAGACUCAACCUGUCUUUUUGCCUUAGAUUUUCUUACCCUCACUACAGCAGCUCCCAUCAGAGGAUAUGGCAGUGCAGUAUUGAUCUAUAAGGUGGAAGAGAGGAAGGCGGGCCCGGGCUUUUCAUACCUCUCUCCCUGUGUGUGUGGAAAUAGCACCUGAAGUCCACUUACUGCUGUGCAGCAGGGAUCCCAUGGCAGCACAAGCGAAUGGCUGCUAAUUGAAUGAGAGAUGAAAAGGACAGUAGUUGUACCUGCUCAGUGCCCCCCCCGCCCCCUCCUCCUGUCUAAUACUACUCGGUUUUUCAUCUGACUUUUUUUCUCCUCUACGUUUACAAAAGUCCUUCUCCACACAAAGAGACUCGCUCUUCAGAUGUUUUAGCAGAAUUGGUGGUGACUAAAGAAAAUUGGCAAAAUCUUCAGGAAGGAAAAAAAAAACUGACUUCAGUGUAGAGGUGAAAGCCUUCAGUAGAAUUUCUUCAUGCAGUGGUAGAAACAUCUGGCUGAGAAAAAGUUUUGAGAGGUCAUGCCACAAAACGUACUGUACUGUAGAUAUUUGUGGACUUGGAAGGACAUUACAGGACAGAUGAACAGUUUUCCAAGCAUGAAAACUUGCUGCGAUUACAACAGGAUUCAUACCUCUUGAUGCAGCCAGUCAGGAUUGCCACCAUGGAGAUGAAAAACAACGAUUGGCCAUUGGACCCUACUCUAACAAAGCACGUACACUGUCUGUAGCCAAUUUCUCCGAACGUUUAGCGCUUAGCCUCCUCGGACACUUAUGGAAAAUGUCAUCUCUACACCUGCAAGAACAGUCAGUUAGACACACAUCAUUAGAGUCUGGUUAUCAUUCGUCUAGUCUGCAGUCUUUGUGGAUGUGGACAGGUAAGUUGGAGCCGCUUCUAAAAGGUAAGUUUAAAAGGUUGAAUCAAUUUUACUGCUGUCUGAAGUGUAAAAUAGAGCUGCCGAGCAAUAUUUUCCAAAAUUAGUUUCAUUAGAUAUGAAUUACUAUAUUUGAGAGCAAUUUUAGAUCGGAGAUUGGAUGAGACCCCAAGGGAUCCUUCUUUUCACUCAGUAGUUUACAUUCAAGUAUUUGACUGGAAAAUCGUGUGUUGCUCUUUUAACUUUCCUCUUUUCUGUGGGACAUUAUGUACACAGACAUAUGUAUAUAUUCUUUUUCAUAGCGUAAUGAGCUCCUUUAUCAUAAAAUGAUCCCAGAAUCCCAAGUGUUGCCCUGAUAUGAUAUAUAUUUUCAAUAAAGUUGAGCAAUUUGUGAAAUGAAAAUUUGUCUUGGUUGUUUUUUUCCCUCUGCUAUUAGAUUCUUGUUUCUAUAUACUGUAUGUCAGUGAUGUUUGUUUUGUUGCUGAGAUUAUACAGUAGCUGAACUAUACAGUUAAAGGAUACGUUUGGUGAUAUUCUAUAUUUUUCUCAGUGUCAACAAAUUCCAUGAAAAGACCAACUUCCUAUGUGUCCAAAGCCUAAUAUAUCUGAUUCCUCUGUGCCAUAGACAUCCAUUGUUGUAAAAACAAAAAACUAUUAAAAACACAUCAAUGAGACACGUCAUUUCUCAUUUCACUGGGUGACAAUGUCCGUCAUUGCAAUGAACGGGGUCACUGUAGUUUAUGUUUAUUAGUUUAUUUAAAUCAAUCCCAUAUACUGUCCUAGUGCCGUCAAUACUCCAAAAAUGUAUUAAUUGGCAGCUGAAAGUAGUCCCAAACAAAUACAGUAUUUAUUUCUAUUUAAAUGACGUUUGCUAAAAACUACAGUACCCUGCUGUUUUAGCCAUUUUCUUUUGCCGACAAGUAUCAUCUAAUAUUUGGUAUGAGAAGCUAUAGGAGCCUGUUCUCUCUGAUUAUUCUAGCAGUGGCUGAAGGGUUGGAAGGGGAACAGUUAAACCUAGUGGCCUAAAUCUGUGGUGUCAAUUAGGUGCCUUUGUGUGUGAGCAGCAGGGGUGUUGAAGCGAGUUGCUGGAGCUGAAGGAAACUCUGAACAAUGAUACACAUUUAUAACCACACACACACGCACACACUGGUCUUAUGUUUUGUGGGGAUCACACCUCCUUUUGUUUUCCCCCAACAGCCAGUAGAGGUGAUGCCCCAGUGCCCCCAGUGUGCUCCACUGCUCUGACUGAAAUGGGCUCCCUGCUCCCCUCUGGCCCCCCCACUCUCGCCCAACAACACUGUCCCCUUGCUCGCUCCGGGUUCCCAAGCCCUCGGCCUCCCCCUGACUGGUCCUGACCUGAAAUUAGGGCCAGGCUAGCCUCCCUGGCCAGGCCAGCAUAAAAGGCUGUUGUGUGUGUGUGUGUGUGUGUGUGUGUGUGUGUGUGUGUGUGCACACCAUGGCCCUGAAAGAAAGUAGGAGAUUAUCCCAUUCUGUGUGUCCAGUCACCAGUGCAGUAUUGACCAUGGUGGGCCACCCAGGGAGCAUCCAGCCAGCCGUGAGAUAGCCUGAUAUACAUGCUUACUGGCCGUGCUAGAUUCCCUCACUCUCACCGGGGAGAAGGCCAAACCCUACAGGGUGGACAUUUUCUAAGGACACUGGAGUCUGUACGCGGAGUGACCCACUAUCCAUGCACAGGGACACACUCACACACACACAUUUCAGCGUAGCCUCUGCACAGUGAAAGACAUUGCCAUCAGGUCGUUUUCUGUGUCCUGUGAGGCGAGGCGGAGGUCAUUGGGAAGGUGGAAAACCUCUUUAAUGGUGGGAAUGAUACCAUAACACCUAUAGAUAGAGUUACGGAUCUUGUCACAUACAGUCUGUAUACAGUGUACAACUCCUGAUGGUAAAUGUGAAGACCAGCGUGAAACAUUUUUAGCUUGUGUUGAAAGAUCAAAUUACUUGUUUGUUUUAUUUAUUCUUUUUUAUUUAUUUUUUUUAAUGUUUAAUAUGUCCAAAUAACAUUCUUUUGAUCAAUAAAAAUGCAUGAAUGUGUAAAGACCAUUCAUUUUUCCUGUUUUUGCUGUUAUACAUAUACUGACUUGUGCCUCUUAAUAAAACAGGAAAUACAGUAAAUAAAACAUGGUAAUAUUUUGUGAAUUAAACUUGAGGCUUUCAGCUCAUAAACAUACAAAUACAUGAUUAUGAACACAGCCUUGCAGAGUUUAUAUAAACUCUUUCUAACCUGUCCACUACACUAGUUUAUAACAGCUCCCUGAGUUGUAAAAGCAGCCCAUUGUAGACCUUAACAAACCCUCAGGGGUCAAAUAAUUAUCUUUUAAUUGCUCAGCUGUUUGUUUGUGGAUGGAGAGUCUCUAACAUUCUGGUCCGUUAGCAACACAAAGGCCUUUAACAGCAGGACAGAGAUGCACAAAGCUCACUAGCAGUAAAAACAAAUAAGAGAAUUUAUAGGGAGGAGUGUGUAACUUUUUACUGCAUGUAAACUGCAAUUAAGGAGUUAUCACGAGAGAGCAAUGAAGAUAAGUCAAUUUCAUCUGUUCUUUCAUUUUCUUUGGAUUACUUAACCACGACAAGCUAAAUGUGUUGGAAUAAACAGGCUGGAAUAAAAGGCUUUUAUUUAAAAUUAGCAUUUUGUUUUAUUUUACAUGAACAAAGUUAACCCUUGUGUUGUCUUCCCGGUUCAAGAUUGACCCGGUCUGUUUUGCCUGUUUUAUAAAGCAUAAAGUAUACAUUUUCCAAUUCUGUGUUACAUCUUCUAAGCCAACUUCAUUCCAACUUAUCACCGCUAGUUUUACACUUAUGUUUGGAAUUCAUGGUCUAUAAACCUCAUUCAUAUUAAAAUAUGCCUAAUUUUGAG